rnacentral:rRNA from 1 species
AACGUAGGUACCGAGCGUUAUCCGGAUUUACUGGGCGUAAAGCGUGUUCAGGCGGCCUGGCAAGUCGGGCAUGAAAUCCCUCGGCUCAACCGAGAGAGGCUGUCCGAUACUGCUGGGCUUGAGGACGGUAGAGGGUGGUGGAAUUCCGCGUGUAGUGGUGAAAUGCGUAGAUAUGCGGAGGAACACCAGUGGCGAAGGCGGCCACCUGGACCGUCCCUGACGCUCAAACACGAAAGCUAGGGUAGCGAACGGG